ensembl:lncRNA
CACGGGGCCGCCGCAGCGUCCGAGACUGGCCCCCGCAUCCUGGGGCGCAGCGCCGAGUGGAGAGGGGCGCGGACGCGAAGAGAAACAUGAAGCAAAGACACACAACAAUAAAUGAAGAUUUCUAAACCUCCAGUGACAUCAAGAAACCAAUCUGUUCCGGAUGAAAAUGAGAGAAGUUAUCUGUGUAGUGAAAAGUGUUUACAUUGGUAUUAAAGAGCAAAGCAGAUCUCUUUGUCUGGGGCCAAGACUCAUCCAAGGGGACCUGACCUUGUUUGGGAUGGGGUCUUUACUGCUGGGUUAUAGGAGACAAUUAAAGCAAAGAAACCUCACAAGCAGAUGGCCAAGAGACUCGGUGAGUGGUAUCAGAUUCUUAUUGCAUACAAUCUUCAAUAGCAUAAAAGAGAUUGUUUAAAAAAAAACCCAACAACCCUUAUAACCAAUGUCUGUUAGAAUUUUGAACCUUUCAAUCACUGCUUUAUUAGAAGGAACAUCCUCCUGAUUUGAGCCAAGAACACUCAAGAGGCACACUCACUGAGUUGCAUGAGAAUGGAGAGAGAACAUUUGUGAACUCAAAACCUGGC